rnacentral:rRNA from 1 species
AGCAGUCGCCACGUAAUACGAAGGGUGCAAGCGUUAAUCGGAAUUACUGGGCGUAAAGCGUGCGUAGGCGGUGAGUUAAGUCUGCUGUGAAAUCCCCGGGCUCAACCUGGGAAUGGCAGUGGAUACUGGCUCGCUAGAGUGUGUCAGAGGAUGGUGGAAUUCCCGGUGUAGCGGUGAGAUGCGUAGAGAUCGGGAGGAACAUCAGUGGCGAAGGCGGCCAUCUGGGACAACACUGACGCUGAGGCACGAAAGCGUGGGGAGCAAACAGGAUUAGAUACCCGCGUAGUCCCUGUCUCUUAUACA